ACCAGGUGGUCAAGCCGAACACCCAGGAUCCAGCUGUCAAGUUCAGGGUAGCCCCUGAGCUUCUCACUCUGACUCCAACAGGGUGAGCUUGCUAUCCUUGUGGCACAGGGCCUUUUGCAUUGUGGAUGAUGGAGCGGCUCGUAUAGUCCAUAAGUUUUGUGCGUAGCUGUGUACCCUGUCCCUGUGAGCUGGUUCUGCCCGGCACCUCGGUGACCUCGAGGAAAGAAGCUGAGAGACAGAGUCUUGCUUUGUCACCCAGGCUGGAGGGCAGUGGCACCAUCAUAGCUCACUGCAGACUCGAACUCCUGGGCUCAAGGGAUCCUCCUGCCUCGGCCUCCAAAAAUGCCAGAUAUACGAUAUUUCACGUGGAUGACCCGAUUGGCCUGCUGCGGGUCAGGGAAACAGGCUCCCAGGUCGCAUCCUCAGCUUGUUCUUGGCGCUGGAAAAAAGAUGCUACGCGGUUCCCUCCUUCAGCCACCAGAGGGCGCGCCCUCCCCGUUUGUCCUCUUUCGCGCACUUUUUCUCCCGCACCUGUCAGUCACAGGGCAGCCCUUUAGCGGAACAGGGAUCCUGUUCUGUGAUUUUCCUGAGGGCCUGCCUCUCCCAGGGAGUAGCGGGCUCCUACGAACAGUAAUAGCAACCAUAAUGUAGAGACCAAGAGCAGAGUUACUGAGUUUUAUGCUGAUGUCCAAAGUCACAGGGCAUUUCAUUUUUCUUCUUUUUUCCUUUCCUUUAAAAAAAUGGGCUGGGCAUGGUGGCUCACGCCUAUAAUCCCAGCUCUUUGGAAGGCCGAGGCGGGUGGAUCACCCGAGGUCAGGAGUUCGAGACCAGCAUGGCCAACAUGAUGAAACCCUGUCUCUACUAAAAGUACAAAAAAUUAGCUGGCUGUGGUGGUGGGCGCCCGUAAUCCCAGCUACUCGGGAGGCUGAGGCAGGAGAAUCACUUGAACCCGGGAGGUGGAGGUUGCAAUGAGCCGAGAUUGAACCAUUGCACUCCAGCCUGGGCAACAAGAGCAAAACUGUGCCUCAAAAAAAAAAAAAAAAAAAAAAGUGAUUGGGUCGUGAGAGUUCUGUUUUCAUAAAUGAAUUAAUACAUUCAUGAAUUAAUGAGUUAAUAGAUGAAUGGGUUAUCAUGGUAGUAGGACUGGUGGCUUUAUAAGAAGAGGAAGAGAGACUUUAGCUAGCAUCCUCAGCCCCCUCGCCAUGGGAUGCCCCAUGCUGCCUCAACACCCUGUAGAGUCCCCACUAGCCAGAAGGCUGUCAACAGAAGGACCCCACAGUUUCAGCCUCAGAACUGUAAGAAACAAAUUUUGUUUCUUUAUAAAUUA